rnacentral:rRNA from 1 species
UACGGAGGGGGCGAGCGUUGUCCGGAAUCAUUGGGCGUAAAGCGCGUGUAGGCGGCUCGGUAAGUCUGGUGUGAAAUCCAGGGGCUCAACCCCUGGCGGUCACUGGAUACUGUCGGGCUAGAGUCCGGAAGAGGAGAGUGGAAUUCCUGGUGUAGCGGUGGAAUGCGCAGAUAUCAAGAGGAACACCUGCGGCGAAGGCGGGUUGCUGGGCCGACACUGACGCUGAGGCGCGAAAGCCAGGGGAGCGAACGGG